rnacentral:rRNA from 1 species
GGCUCAGAACGAACGCUGGCGGCGUGCUCAACACAUGCAAGUCGAACGAACCUUCGGGUUAGUGGCGGACGGGUGAGUAACGCGUGACAAUCUGCCCUCAGGAGGGGGAUAACGGUUGGAAACGACCGCUAAUACCCCAUAUGCCGAGAGGUGAAAAGAAAUUCGCCUGAGGAUGAGCUCGCGUCUGAUUAGCUAGUUGGUGUGGUAAUGGCGCACCAAGGCUUCGAUCAGUAGCUGGUCUGAGAGGAUGAUCAGCCACACUGGGACUGAGACACGGCCCAGACUCCUACGGGAGGCAGCAGUGGG